UACAGAGGGUGCAAGCGUUAAUCGGAAUUACUGGGCGUAAAGCGUGCGUAGUCGGUUAUUUAAGUCGGGCGUGAAAGCCCCGGGCUCAACCUGGGAAUUGCGUUCGAUACUGGAUAGCUAGAGUUCGGCAGAGGGAAGCGGAAUUUCGGGUGUAGCGGUGAAAUGCGCAGAUAUCGGGAGGAACACCAGUAGCGAAGGCGGCUCGCUGGGCCAUUCCUGACGCUGAGACGCGAAAGCUAGGGGAGCGAACAGG
rnacentral:rRNA from 1 species